rnacentral:lncRNA from 1 species
GAAAGAGCAACUUGCUCAAAGGCUCACAGUCAGAAGAAGCCAGCCUAGGCUUUGAGCCAGGUCAGUCCGACACCACUUUCCCAUGUGACAUUCUACUUCUUCCUGACUUUUUUCUCUUUUUCUUGAAGCCCAAACUGUCUUUGUGGGUGGGAGCAAACUUGGGGCAUUUGAAAGAGAAGGGCAGCCAUUCUCAUUGCUAUUUCUUCCCUCCUUACACUGUGUCCUAUGAUCCCUCAAGUCUGGGACCAAGGAGGGGCCUACACAGUGAGUGAAACAGAUUGUAUAAACUACUCAUCUUGGAUGCUGUUUCUUGCCAUAAGGAACCCUGAAUCACAGUUUGUAAAGAGCAAGGGGACAGAGGAGCUGUCUCAGAAGCCAGCACGUUGGUCUUCUUAGUGCGUUUCCAGGAAGAGUAACUCCCUUCUUUGCCUGUGAGUUAGAGAGUGACUUUCCUCUAUUUUCUCUAAACCACACAAGUUAUCUUCUGAACAUAAUCAGAACCUUGUUUCUUACUUUUUUUUAACC